CCGCACAGUCCGCCUGGGAAGGUCGGCGGGAACGUCCCGGUUCGCCUCACCGCGGGGCCUGACGCAAACGAGCGAACGAGUGACCGCCCGUGCCCGCUCUGUGAGCUCCGUCCUGCUGCGGAGGGUGCUUCCCCGGGGCCGCGCGCCUCCGCCCCCCCCCCGGCCACGUGCGCGGCGUGAGGGCGGACCUCGGGGCCGACGAAGGUCACCUGCGCCGUGGGGCCAGCGCGGCCGCCGGGACGGCGGAGAGCGACAAGGCACCUGCCCCAAGACUUUGUCCGCCCGUGUCACCGUGCGGGGUGUGCUGGGGCCCUCCGGGACCUCAGGCCCAGGCCCCCGUGUCCGCCCGUGUCACCGUGCGGGGUGUGCUGGGAACCUCCGGGACCUCAGGCCCAGGCCCCCGUGUCCCCCCGUGUCACCGUGCGGGGUGUGCUGGGGCCCUCCGGGACCUCAGGCCCAGGCCCCCGUGUCCGCCCGUGUCACCGUGCGGGGUGUGCUGGGAACCUCCGGGACCUCAGGCCCAGGCCCCCGUGUCCCCCCGUGUCACCGUGCGGGGUGUGCUGGGGCCCUCCGGGACCUCAGGCCCAGGCCCCCGUGUCCGCCCGUGUCACCGUGCGGGGUGUGCUGGGAACCUCCGGGACCUCAGGCCCAGGCCCCCGUGUCCCCCCGUGUCACCGUGCGGGGUGUGCUGGGGCCCUCCGGGACCUCAGGCCCAGGCCCCCGUGUCCCCCCGUGUCACCGUGCGGGGUGUGCUGGGGCCCUCCGGGACCUCAGGCCCAGGCCCCCGUGUCCGCCCGUGUCACCGUGCGGGGUGUGCUGGGGCCCUCCGGGACCUCAGGCCCAGGCCCCCGUGUCCCCCCGUGUCACCGUGCGGGGUGUGCUGGGGCCCUCCGGGACCUCAGGCCCAGGCCCCCGUGUCCCCCCGUGUCACCGUGCGGGGUGUGCUGGGAACCUCCGGGACCUCAGGCCCAGGCCCCCGUGUCCCCCCGUGUCACCGUGCGGGGUGUGCUGGGGCCCUCCGGGACCUCAGGCCCAGGCCCCCGUGUCCCCCCGUGUCACCGUGCGGGGUGUGCUGGGGCCCUCCGGGACCUCAGGCCCAGGCCCCCGUGUCCCCCCGUGUCACCGUGCGGGGUGUGCUGGGAACCUCCGGGACCUCAGGCCCAGGCCCCCGUGUCCCCCCGUGUCACCGUGCGGGGUGUGCUGGGGCCCUCCGGGACCUCAGGCCCAGGCCCCCGUGUCCCCCCGUGUCACCGUGCGGGGUGUGCUGGGGCCCUCCGGGACCUCAGGCCCAGGCCCCCGUGUCCCCCCGUGUCACCGUGCGGGGUGUGCUGGGGCCCUCCGGGACCUCAGGCCCAGGCCCCCGUGUCCGCCCGUGUCACCGUGCGGGGUGUGCUGGGGCCCUCCGGGACCUCAGGCCCAGGCCCCCGUGUCCCCCCGUGUCACCGUGCGGGGUGUGCUGGGAACCUCCGGGACCUCAGGCCCAGGCCCCCGUGUCCCCCCGUGUCACCGUGCGGGGUGUGCUGGGAACCUCCGGGACCUCAGGCCCAGGCCCCCGUGUCCCCCCGUGUCACCGUGCGGGGUGUGCUGGGGCCCUCCGGGACCUCAGGCCCAGGCCCCCGUGUCCCCCCGUGUCACCGUGCGGGGUGUGCUGGGGCCCUCCGGGACCUCAGGCCCAGGCCCCAAUGUGUUGCACCAUAUUUGAAAACACGAAGAGGGUACUGUUGGUAGUUUGCCUUGUUCGCUGAAUCCACGUUGAGUGCCAUUUUCAGAGCUCCGAUGUGCCGCUAACACAGUUAUGUGUCUAAUCAGCAAAGGUCAAUACUUGUCAGAAGUAAAGCUAUGCUGUAUGGUGAAAUUUAGAAGUCUGUUGUGUCUUCAAAUGAUGGCCCUUGGGAAAAUCAAAAUAACUUAUCUACGUAGUAACCAUUUUUCCCCCAACUAUGAGCCAAAAGAAUAAUUGGGAACCACCUUUCCAUAUAAAUUCUUGUCCAGAACUGAAGGAUGAGAGUCCUGCGGUUUCCAUAUAUUCACUAACCUUGAAAAAAUGAAGCUAAUGGGGUACCUGGGUGGCUCAGUGGUUGAGCGUCUACCUUUGGCUCAGGGCGUGAUCCCCGGGUCCUGGGACUGAGUCCCGCAUUGGGCUUCCUGCGGAGAGCCUGCUUCUCUCUCUGCCUGUGUCUUUGCCUCUCUCUGUGUCUUUCAUGAACAAAUAAAUAAAAUCUUUAAAACA
rnacentral:lncRNA from 1 species